rnacentral:rRNA from 1 species
AUUGAACGCUGGCGGCAGGCCUAACACAUGCAAGUCGAGCGGAUGACGGGAGCUUGCUCCUUGAUUCAGCGGCGGACGGGUGAGUAAUGCCUAGGAAUCUGCCUGGUAGUGGGGGACAACGUUUCGAAAGGAACGCUAAUACCGCAUACGUCCUACGGGAGAAAGCAGGGGACCUUCGGGCCUUGCGCUAUCAGAUGAGCCUAGGUCGGAUUAGCUAGUAGGUGAGGUAAUGGCUCACCUAGGCGACGAUCCGUAACUGGUCGGAGAGGAUGAUCAGUCACACUGGAACUGAGACACGGUCCAGACUCCUACGGGAGGCAGCAGUGGGGAAUAUUGGACAAUGGGCGAAAGCCUGAUCCAGCCAUGCCGCGUGUGUGAAGAAGGUCUUCGGAUUGUAAAGCACUUUUAGUUGGGAGGAAGGGCAGUAAGUUAAUACCUUGCUGUUUUGACGUUACCGACAGAAUAAGCACCGGCUAACUCUGUGCCAGCAGCCGCAGUAA